rnacentral:rRNA from 1 species
GACGAACGCUGGCGGCGUGCCUAAUACAUGCAAGUAGAACGCAGUUGCGAACGGGUGAGUAACGCGUAGGUAACUGCCUCAUAGCGGGGGAUCACUAUUGGAAACGCUAGCUCAUACCGCAUCCUGUGAGAUGGACCUGCGUUGUCUUAGCUAGUUGGUGAGGUAAAGGCUCAACAAGGCGACGAUACAUAGCCGACCUGAGAGGGGGAUCGGAGAAAAUGGGAAUGAGACAACGGCCAAACUUCUACGGGAGGAAGGAGGAGGGAAACUUUGGAAAAGGACGGAAGUCGGAACGAGGAACGCCGCGUGAGUGAAGAAGGGUUUUGGAUUGGAAAGGGCUGUUGUUAGAGAAGCGGUAACUAACCAGAAAGGGACGGCUAACUACGUGCCAGCAGCCGCGGUAAUUC